rnacentral:misc_RNA from 1 species
CGCACAUUGCGCCCUCUGGUAUUCCGGGGGGCAUGCCUGUUCGAGCGUCAUUUUCACCCCUCAAGCUCAGCUUGGUCUUGGGUGCUCGUCCUCCUCCCCCGGGAGAGGGCGCGCCCGAAAUUCAGCGGCGGUGCGGCCGAACCCCCUAGCGCAGUGACUUGUUUUCAAACGCUACAAGGAGUUCGAGUUCGUCCCGGCCGGACAACAACCAAAUUUUAUCACGAUUGACCUCGGAUCAGGUAGGGAUACCCGCUGAACUUAA